GGGGAAAUAGCUCAGUUGGUUAGAGUGCUGGUCUGUCACGCCAGAAGUCACGGGUUCGAACCCCUUGCUCACUU
rnacentral:tRNA from 1 species